rnacentral:rRNA from 1 species
GAUGAACGCUGGCGGCGUGCUUAACACAUGCAAGUCGAACGAAGCACUUAUCUUGCUUGCAAGAAAAGUGACUGAGUGGCGGACGGGUGAGUAACGCGUGGGCAACCUGCCUUACACUGGGGGAUAACAGUUGGAAACGACUGCUAAUACCGCAUAUGCACACAGUAUCACAUGAUACAGUGUUGAAAACUCCGGUGGUGUAAGAUGGGCCCGCGUCUGAUUAGCUAGUUGGUGAGGUAAUGGCUCACCAAGGCGACGAUCAGUAGCCGGCUUGAGAGAGUGAACGGCCACAUUGGGACUGAGACACGGCCCAAACUCCUACGGGAGGCAGCAGUGGGGAAUAUUGCACAAUGGGGGAAACCCUGAUGCAGCAACGCCGCGUGAGCGAAGAAGUAUUUCGGUAUGUAAAGCUCUAUCAGCAGGGAAGAUAAUGACGGUACCUGACUAAGAAGCCCCGGCUAACUACGUGCCAGCCGCCGCAGUAA